rnacentral:lncRNA from 1 species
GUGGAACCAAUCCCCUGAGCCCUAUGCAAAUCAGACAUCACCUCCUCCAGCCUAUUUAUAUAAGCAGCCACUUUUCCGUGGCACAGGGGGUCUUCUCUCUUGGCUUUGGAGCUCCCCAUUCCUCUGUGUCUGUAACAGGGGAGCUUCUUCCUUCUUUCUUCUCCCUUCUUUCUUGCCUGUUAAACUCUCUGCUUCUUAAAACCACUCCAUGUAUGUCCAGGUCAUUUUAUCUAAUUUGGAGACGGAGAACCCUGGUGUUCCUCUGCUCAUCAGAGCCGUCUCACCUGCAAGGGCCAGGAUCCAGCACUAGGGCUGCCCUUUAUGUUCAUGCAGCCUCCACUAGGAAGAUCCUCCUUAGCUGCCACCUGCUGUAAAGGGAUCUAUCUAUCUAUCUGUCUAUCUAUCUAUCUAUCUAUCUUUCUAUCUACCUGUCGAGAGAGAGAGAGGUUUAUUAUAAGGAAUUGACUCAUGUGAUUAUGGAGGCUGAGAAGUUCCACAGUCUGCUGUCUGCAAGCUGGAGACCCAGGAAGGCUGCUGGUGCCGUUCCAGUUUGAUUCUGAAGGCCUGAGAACCAGAACUGAUGCCCACUCAACAUGAAGAUGACAAGGAUGAAGACCUUUAUGAUGAUCCAUUCCCACUUACUGAAUAGAUGAAGCUUCUUGGUGAUGUAACAGUCUGUGGAAACUCCCACAGGACAAAUGCAGAAAGGAAGGACCUAGAUCACUGGAUGGUCAACGUUGCCCCUUGCACAGCAGCAAAGGCCUAUACAAAUUUUUUGAGUAGCUUUAUCUAGUGGUUCAGCUACUGGGAAUAACUUGUAAAAUCCCCUGGAUAGUCAACAGCAUUGGGGCUUGCUUUGUAAACAGAGACCUGACCUACUUAAUUCUUCCCAGAGGUUGGAAAAAGAGGCUGGACUCACACAGACAUGAAACCUUGGCUUAAUUGGACACUAAUUACUCAUAAGAGAUCUGUUUACCCGAACUUCCCCUAGACCAAGCUCAGUAUAAAAUGAGAGGAUGCAUAAAGAAGCAAGAUAUUUAGAGGAAAAUGUCACAAAUACAUUUAUCAGUCCCAAAAGUCCUUUUUUUUCCCCAGAAGUGAUGUUGCUAAUUGCACAAAAAUAAACAAUACAGGGGUUGAUAAAUUCCACAUUUAAGGGCUGAGGAUAGUGUCCCUACAUUUCUAAGAAGCUGUAUAUUUGGAAAUGAAUACAAUUGAAAGUAAGGAUAAGUGGCAUUCUAAAGCCAAUUGGAUAACUUGAAUGAACAAGCAGAAUUUACCAUAUUUUGAUAUGUUUCUUUUUGAUUAAAGUAUCUGUAAAGGAAACAAAUUAUAGUAUUGCUAUAGAUUUUAUUACUGAACAAGAAAAAAAGGCUUGAUGUUGUGCAUUUCCUUUUGGCCUUUGGUCUUGGCUGAUAUUGGGCAUCCAAUGAGCUUCUUUGUCUUGAAUGAAGACUUAAGAGGGAGUGAAAAGUAGGAAGAGCAUCAAAACUUCUUUGCAGGAUGUAAUCAAACCACCUACUACUUAUUGUCUUACGAUCCAUUUAUUCAACAAAUGGAACAUCUCAAUUGCUUGAUGCUAUUACAGACACUAGGUAUAGUCUUAGAAAAACAAAUUGCUGUUUUUAUAUAGCUUGUGUUAUGGGUUGAUGUAGUACAGUCAAAAUUAUUUAAAUAAAGGAAGAUGUGAGGAAGACUUUGAACUUAGAAAUCUGGGUUCUCAUCCAAGCUUUGCUGCUAGCUUGUUGGGGGAACCUUGGGUGAUGAGUUGGUUGACUCCUUCCAGAUCUCAGCGUUCAUCCAUCAAGUGAGGGAACUUGACCAGAUAUUCAAUAAUGGCCCUUCCAGCCCCAUCUCUAUAUGAAAGGGAAACCACAGUAUGGGCCCAUGGGGAAGAUCAUGGACUUUGGAGUAAAACAUUUCUGGCUUGGUCAAUUAUUUAAUCUCUUGAUCCCGAUCAAUUCAUGUAACUACUCUGACCCUCAGUUUCCUUGCUGCAAAAUGAGAUACUAAUAUUUGCUCAAAUAAGAUAACAGGCAAAACAAUCAUGAGGGCUCCUGGCACACCACUGUGCAUGGCUUUUGCUCCCUUGGGGAGCUUAUAAAUGAAAAAAAGAUUUUACAAUGCAAAGACAGUAAGCAUUUUGUUAGUGAAGCAACAAAAUAAUUGGGCAAUUUCCUCUCAAUUGCACCAUCAACUGAUGCCCAACCUAGAAAGCAUUUGGCUAAGAAUGGAAAAGGAAUCUUUGCCCAGAUCCCUCAAUUUUGACCAUCAUGGCAUAUACAUGAAUUGGCAGACUAAAUUUAUGCUCCUUUUGAAAACUGUGUCCAUUCCAAGAAGUCAGGCUAUUUUCACCCAGCCUGGUCUAGGCAGUGGGACUCCCCAAGGCUACAAGCAGAGCCACAGUGCUCUGGGCUGGGCUGCCACACUGUCAUGCUGGGGCAAAGAUGGCAGCAGACAGCUCUCUUGGGUAACAGCAGGAAGCUCUUUUCACAAGAGUGAUCUCAUCUCUUAGGGGACUAUGGUAGAAACACAGGGCAAAAGCUAUAGGAAUGGUCCAACAUAAUAACUGUUUUUUUUUUUAAUUUUCAAAACAUGAUAAAUGAUUAAGAAUAUAAAACUGGAAUUUAGAACUUACAGAGAACUUGUAUGAAUAAAUUAAAAAGACAACCUAAUUUUAAAAUGGGCAGAAGUCUUGGGCAGGCACAUUACAAUAUAGCAGGGGUCACCAAAUUAAAGCCUCACCAGCAAAAUCCACCUCCCAUCCCAGCCUGUUUUUAUAAAUAAGCUGUGUUGGAACACAGCCAAUCCCAUUCAUUCACACAUUGCCCAUGGCUGCUUUUGCUUGACAACAGCAUAGUUGAGUAGUAGGGACAAGACCAUAUGACCUCCAAAGCCAGAGAUAUUAACUGUCAGGCCCUUUAUAGAGUGAUUCACGGAGACCCCCAUAAUAGAGGAAAAUACAAGUGGCCAAUAGCACAUAAGAAGAUGCCCAGUAUUACAGCCAAGAGGAAAAUGCAAAUUACACCCACAGUAAGAUACCAUUAUGCAUCCAUUAGAAAGGCUAAAAUUAAAAGGACUGACAACAACAAGUGUUGACAAUGGUGGGUAACAGCAAGAGCUCUCAUACACUGAUGGUUGAAGUGUAAAUUGGUUCAGUUUUGGAAAAGAGUUUGGAGGUGUCUACUACAGUUAAACAUACAUAUUUCCAUGCCCCAGAAACUCCUGGGCAUAUUCUCAAAAGAAACGAGGGCUGUGGCCACCAAGAGACAUGUGUGAGAAAGGUCCUAGCACCUUUAUAUAUCAUAGUCCCAAACAGAAAACAACACAUACCCAUCCACGUUAGGAUGAACUAAAUAAAUUGGGGCAUAUGCAUUCAAUGGAAUAGUACAUAGCAAUGAAAAAAUAAACUGUUGCCCCAUGCAAAGAUGUUUUACAGACAUAACGUUAAGCAGAAGAAAGCAGAUCUCAAGGAGCCCACAUUGUACAAUUCCGAUCUAUAUGAAGCUCAAUAACACAUGGUACUAGAAGUUGUAAUAGCAGUUACCUGUAGGACUGGAGGUUUGUAUUGAAAGAGAAGGAACAUCAGGAAGUCUGCUGGAGCCUGGAAAUGUCUGAGAUGUUGCUCUGGGAGGCAGUUGCAUGGCUGUAGACAUAUGUAAGACAUUAUUGGAUGGUAUACCUGAGAUUGGAGCACCUACAAUAGAAGGUACAGUGUUACAUCUCAGU